AACCCGGAACCCAGCAACGCCUGGACACUGUUGCUGGGACAAAGGACUUCCAUAGUACCAAAAUGGAACCAUCCCCAGGUAACACAGGGGAUUUGCCCAGCAGGACUGAUGGCUGCCCCACAACAGGUUCGGCCUUCCCUCCUCCUGUGACUGACACUUGGGUCUGGGGGUGCCCUGCCUGGGUGCGCUGAGGUGGCCCUAAUCAAUGCCAGUCUUGCUAAAUGUGUGCUGGGGGGAUGGGAUGUUUGAGGGGAUCCCUAGGGAACCAGUGAGAGCCGGGCAUCGCUGAUGUGCUUCUCAGACCUGGAGUUUCCUCACCUGCAGAUCCUGACUGUAAGGUGCGGCCUCCGCAGCCUCCGCCGCCGCUGCGGCCUCCACCGCCCCUGCAGCCGCUGC